UCGCUGCCUAGCCCUUGGCGCCGGGGUGGCCGGUGACGUCGGUCAGCGUACCCUCGUUCGACCCGGGAGCGUUGGC
rnacentral:tRNA from 1 species